AUAAUACAUUUCUUUUUAUAUUACAGAUAAUGGAACCAUAAUGAUGUUCAUUAAUGAAACGGAAAAGAAUGAGAAUGAUAACCUUUUAAUAUUGCGAUAAAGACACGGUAGAUGUUCCAGCAGAUUGCAGAAUUAUAAAAUAAUAAUCAAUCUUCCUCUAUCUUCUGUAGAGCUGUGCUUUCUACAACUAAAAGAAUAAUGUCGGUUCGACUGACAUGCAAGGCAAACAUUUUGACAAACAUAUUGUCCCAUAUUGUUCCAAUCUAUUACGUUUUUAGGUCGUAAUGAAGAUAAGGAAAGUAGUGGAUUGGAAAGUGGAUAUCUUCCUGCUUUAUACACUUUGCAAUAAGGUUUUCAAUGCGUUAAAUUAGAGUUCAUAAUUGUGCUGCCACUGCAGGAGUUCCAUAUACUUUGAGCACCCUUUACUGCAUUUAAGCACGACGUUGCGGAAGUUAAUCACGUGGUAU
rnacentral:lncRNA from 13 species